rnacentral:rRNA from 1 species
GAGAAAGUAAGUAAUAUUGGUUUAGCAGUUAAAUUUAUUUGUUUAUUUAAAUCUGAAAUUUUUAGGUGAAAUUUUAAUUUUAUUGUAAUUUGAUUUUUUGAAGCUGCGAAAUUUAUUGUUAAAGACAAGGAUUAGAUACCCUUUUAUAUUAAAUGUAAAUAUAAGCCUGGGUAGUAUUAGCUAUGUUCUUGAAACCCAAAGAAUUUGGCGGUAUUUUAUUCUUUUUAGAGGAACCUGUCCUGUAAUUGAUAGUCCACGAUGGGUAAUUACUUACUUUUGUGUUCAUUUUGUAUACCUCCGUCAUCAGAGUAUCUUCUCAGAGUAAAUAUUCUAUAAUUAUUAAGUAUAAUAUGUCAGGUCAAGGUGCAAUUUAUGGGUAAGUAGAGAUGGGUUACAUUAAGCUUAUUUAUACGGAUUAUUGUUGUUAUUUAUAGUAUGAAGGUGGAUUUAAAAGUAAAGUUAUUGAUCCUUCAAUUCUUGAUUUUAGCUCUAAAAUAUGCACACAUCGCCCGUCGCUCUUAUUUUAAAAUAAGAUAAGUCGUAACAUAGUAGGUGUACCGGAAGGUGUUCCUAGAAAGGUAA